rnacentral:rRNA from 1 species
GACGAACGCUGGCGGCGUGCUUAACACAUGCAAGUCGAACGAAGAGCGAUGGAAGCUUGCUUCUAUCAAUCUUAGUGGCGAACGGGUGAGUAACGCGUAAUCAACCUACCCUUCAGAGGGGGACAACAGUUGGAAACGACUGCUAAUACCGCAUACGAUCUAAUCUCGGCAUCGAGGAAAGAUGAAAGGUGGCCUCUAUUUAUAAGCUAUCACUGAAGGAGGGGAUUGCGUCUGAUUAGCUAGUUGGAGGGGUAACGGCCCACCAAGGCGAUGAUCAGUAGCCGGUCUGAGAGGAUGAACGGCCACAUUGGGACUGAGACACGGCCCAGACUCCUACGGGAGGCAGCAGUGGGGAAUCUUCCGCAAUGGACGAAAGUCUGACGGAGCAACGCCGCGUGAGUGAUGACGGCCUUCGGGUUGUAAAGCUCUGUUAAUCGGGACGAAAGGCCUUCUUGCGAACAGUUAGAAGGAUUGACGGUACCGGAAUAGAAAGCCACGGCUAACUACGUG